CCCAGGCGUCGAGCGGCGGACGGGUGAGUAACGCGUAGGAAUCUACCCAGUAGUGGGGGACAACUUAGGGAAACUUAAGCUAAUACCGCAUACGCCAUAUUGGGAAAGCUCCGGCGGUGAUAGAUGAGCCUAUGCCUGAUUAGCUAGUUGGUAGGGUAAAAGCCUACCAAGGCAACGAUCAGUAGCUGGUCUGAGAGGAUGAUCAGCCACACUGGGACUGAGACACGGCCCAGACUCC
rnacentral:rRNA from 1 species